GUAAAACCCUCGCGAGGAUGUGAUCCGAUUAGGUGUUGACUUUUAGGUUUAAGAGAUAGCUUGUUCCGUAACUAGAAGUUUAACUUAGAAUUCACUAGCUAGCAAACAAUAGCUAGCAAGCUACCCAGUCAAUGAUGUCUUGCAAGACACGCUACAUGUUAUGAAGGAUGCCAAAUCAAAUCGUCUCCUGCCACUCAUCUGUCCACGCUGGUCUCUGCCAGGCGGUUAUUCAUGAUGCCCAGGGCGCCGA